GGGCGGAUAGCUCAGCGGUAGAGCUGCGCCUUUACACGGCGCUGGUCCUCGGUUCGAUCCCGGGUCCGCCCA
rnacentral:tRNA from 2 species